UGGAAGCUCCCAAGUUUUCUUUUAUUAUUAUUUUUUUUUAGAUUUAUUUAUUUAUUCAUGAGACACAGAGAGAGAGAGAGAGGCAGAGACACAGGCAGAGGGAGAAGCAGGCUCCCCGCGGGGUGCCCGGUGCGGGACUCGAUCCUGGAUCCCGGGAUCACGCCCUGAGCCGAAGGCAGGCGCCCAAACGCUGAGCCACCCAGGCGCCCCGGCUCCCAGGUUUUCAAACAGGCUUUCUUUUCUUUCUUUUUUUUUUUUUUUGUAUAUUUUUGUAUUGAUUUUUUUUUUUUUUAUUGGAGUUUGCUUUGCCAACAUCUAGUAUCACACGGAGGGCUCCUCCCGUCCAGUGCCCCCCGCAGUGCCCGUCCCCCGUCCCCGCCGCCCUUCCCCUUGUUCAUCUCCCAGCUUAGGAGUCUCGGGGUCUCACACAGGCUUUGGGGGGCGGGGGGCAGCGGCCGGGCUGCGAGAGGCGCGGGGACCCGGAGCUCCGCGGCCGGGGAGCAGCGCACGCGCACGCGCAGGCUGCGAGCGGCUCCCGCCGGCUCCUCCCGCGGCGGUCGGUCCGGGGACGUUCUCCCCGCCGCGGGGGCGACUGUGACCCCCGGCGGAGGCCCGGGCGGGCCGGGUCCCGAUCGGUGCUGGCGGACGUCACCCUGCCAGGUUCGGUGGUUCUGCAGACUGUUUACAUAUGAAAGCAUUUCCAGGUACUCUGAAAGCUUUCAGAAACCAUAACCUGAGGACUAGAGAUAAGACUAGAUUCCCUUUCCUCCAGUUGGAGUAUUAGAGCACAUAGA
rnacentral:lncRNA from 1 species